CUGAGUUCCACAGUGGGAUGUGAACUCAUAUUGCAGUGACCCUGCAGCCACAGGGCCAUACACUCAUGCCUGCACAAAGUAUUAACUGUGUGCUCUCUGGCCCUGACAUACAAGCUGGGAGGCAAUUCCAGCUCAACUGAAAAAGAUGGGCUACAUACCUGUGAGAAUUUUCCAGGCUUAGGAGGAGCCUGCUCCAGGCUAUUGGGUGAGAACUGUGCAGCAGGGACAAAGAAGACAUUUCCUGUACGACAAGGAGCUGAAGGGCCACACAGAGAAGGUUUGGAUGUUGCUUGAACUGUUCCUGAAGAAAAUUCAGGCACGGAGAGGAAAUGUGAGCAGAUCGGAUAAGGUCAUAAUGUCAAUCAGUGCCAAAGAGAAGGAGGUUACUGACUGAUUAAUGAAUAUGUAUGGAUCCAAAUGGUAAAGGAGCUCCUGACGGGAUCUGAGGCACCUGUUUUUCACUGUUGUAGCAGAAAUGUUAAGUCACAGCCUGAACCAGUGAUUGAGCACCUGGUGGGAAGGCAGGGCCAACCCAGGGGAGCUCAGGUGCAUGCAAUGAACCUGAGUGAGCAGAAGGGGUGCAGGCAGGAUCCGCCCCUUCCCAGACUUCAUUUAAAGGUUGGCAGUGGAGGCAAGGGUAUCUUGCUGAAGAUUGCUGCAUAUCUCAGGUCUUCCUAAGGUAAGCAGUUUUCCUUUCUUUGUUUUUGCUUCCAUAUCUGCUUCAUCUGGGCUUGUUCUCGUUUGCUAUAGACUAGGAUUGUGCUACUCUGCUGUUAUUGCUAUACUUUCCAUCACAUUAUAGCAUUACAAUUGUCACCAGCUGUUAAUUCAACUCCUAUACUGUUGUGUCAUGCUCACACCUCAGUGCUGUAAAAUUAC
rnacentral:lncRNA from 1 species